rnacentral:snRNA from 1 species
ACACUCACUGGGCAGAAGAGCCAGGAUUAGGAAGGCUGCUUCCCAGGGUGAGGCUCCUCCCUGUGCUCGGGAGGCGCUGGCCCCUGCUGCCUUCUCCAGUUCACAGAACUCAGCUGCCUGAUUUGUAGUAGUGGGAGACGUGUUCACCCUCAAC